GAUGAACGCUGGCGGCGUGCUUAACACAUGCAAGUCGAACGGAAAGGCCACAGCUUGCUGUGGUACUCGAGUGGCGAACGGGUGAGUAACACGUGGGUGAUCUGCCCUGUACUUCGGGAUAAGCUUGGGAAACUGGGUCUAAUACCGGAUAGGAAUCACAUGUGGGUGUGUGGUUGGAAAGCUUUUGCGGUAUGGGAUGAGCUCGCGGCCUAUCAGCUUGUUGGUGGGGUAAUGGCCUACCAAGGCGUCGACGGGUAGCCGGCCUGAGAGGGUGUACGGCCACAUUGGGACUGAGAUACGGCCCAGACUCCUACGGGAGGCAGCAGUGGGGAAUAUUGCACAAUGGGCGCAAGCCUGAUGCAGCGACGCCGCGUGGGGGAUGACGGCCUUCGGGUUGUAAACUCCUUUCGUCAGGGACGAAGCGAAAGUGACGGUACCUGGAUAAGAAGCACCGGCUAACUACGUGCCAGCAGCCGCGGUAAUACGUAGGGUGCGAGCGUUGUCCGGAAUUACUGGGCGUAAAGAGCUCGUAGGUGGUUUGUCGCGUCGUUUGUGUAAGUCCACGGCUUAACUGUGGGAUGGCAGGCGAUACGGGCAUAACUUGAGUGCUGUAGGGGAGACUGGAAUUCCUGGUGUAGCGGUGAAAUGCGCAGAUAUCAGGAGGAACACCGAUGGCGAAGGCAGGUCUCUGGGC
rnacentral:rRNA from 1 species